rnacentral:snRNA from 2 species
UUGCUUCAGCAGCACAUAUACUAAAAUUGGAACAAUAUAGAGGAUUAGCAUGGCCCCUGCAUGAGGAUGACUCUCAAAUUCAGGAAGCAUUCCAUGUUUUA